rnacentral:tRNA from 1 species
GCCCAGGUGGCGGAACUGGCAGACGCGCCAGCUUGAGGUGCUGGUCCCCGCUUUAGGGGGUGGAGGUUCGAGUCCUCUCCUGGGCA